GGUCCCCCACAUUGGAACUGAGACACGGUCCAAACUCCUACGGGAGGCAGCAGUGAGGAAUAUUGGUCAAUGGGCGAGAGCCUGAACCAGCCAAGUAGCGUGAAGGAUGACUGCCCUAUGGGUUGUAAACUUCUUUUAUAAAGGAAUAAAGUCGGGUAUGGAUACCCGUUUGCAUGUACUUUAUGAAUAAGGAUCGGCUAACUCCGUGCCAGCAGCCGCGGUAAUACGGAGGAUCCGAGCGUUAUCCGGAUUUAUUGGGUUUAAAGGGAGCGUAGAUGGAUGUUUAAGUCAGUUGUGAAAGUUUGCGGCUCAACCGUAAAAUUGCAGUUGAUACUGGAUAUCUUGAGUGCAGUUGAGGCAGGCGGAAUUCGUGGUGUAGCGGUGAAAUGCUUAGAUAUCACGAAGAACUCCGAUUGCGAAGGCAGCCUGCUAAGCUGCAACUGACAUUGAGGCUCGAAAGUGUGGGUAUCAAACAGGAUUAGAUACCCUGGUAGUCCACACGGUAAACGAUGAAUACUCGCUGUUUGCGAUAUACGGCAA
rnacentral:rRNA from 1 species